UACGUAGGGUGCAAGCGUUAAUCGGAAUUACUGGGCGUAAAGCGUGCGCAGGCGGUUGUGCAAGACAGAUGUGAAAUCCCCGGGCUCAACCUGGGAACUGCAUUUGUGACUGCACGGCUAGAGUGUGUCAGAGGGGGGGUAGAAUUCCACGUGUAGCAGUGAAAUGCGUAGAUAUGCGGAGGAACACCGAUGGCGAAGGCAAUCCCCUGGA
rnacentral:rRNA from 1 species